UUGGAGGGCAAGUCUGGUGCCAGCAGCCGCGGUAAUUCCAGCUCCAAUAGCGUAUAUUAAAGUUGCUGCAGUUAAAAAGCUCGUAGUUGAAUUUCGGGACUAUCAUGUCGGUCGUGCCUCGGUACGUACUGGUAUUGUUGGUUUCUCCCUUCUGACGAACCAUGAUGUCAUUUAUUUGGUGUUGUGGGGAAUCAGGACUGUUACUUUGAAAAAAUUAGAGUGUUUAAAGCAGGCUCACGCUUGAAUACAUUAGCAUGGAAUAAUGAAAUAGGACGUUUGAUUCUAUUUUGUUGGUUUCUAGGAUCGACGUAAUGAUUAAUAGGGAUAGUUGGGGGCAUUAGUAUUCAAUUGUCAGAGGUGAAAUUCUUGGAUUUAUUGAAGACUAACUACUGCGAAAGCAUUUGCCAAGGAUGUUUUCAUUAAUCAAGAACGAAAGUUAGGGGAUCGAAGACGAUCAGAUACCGUCGUAGUCUUAACCAUAAACUAUGCCGACUAGGGAUCGGAUGAUGUUAAUUUUUAAUGACUCAUUCGGCGCCUUACGGGAAAC
rnacentral:rRNA from 1 species